rnacentral:rRNA from 1 species
AGUGAACGCUGGCGGCGUGCUUAACACAUGCAAUUGGAACGAGAACGGAAUAUAGCUUGCUAUAUUUGUCAGCUAAGUGGCGCACGGGUGAGGAGUGUAUAGAUAACCUGCCCUUAAGAAUGGAAUAACAGUUGGAAACGACUGCUCAUGCCCUAUAUGCCUUUACUACAUAAGUAUGCAAGGGAAAGGCUUUAGCUCGUAAGGAUGGGUGUGUAUGUUAUCAGCUUGUUGGUAAGGGAAUGGCUAACCAAGGCUAUGACGCCUAACUGGCUUGAGAGGAUGAUCCGUCACACUGGAGCUGAGACACGGUCCAGACUCCUACGGGAGGCAGCAGUGGGGAAUAUUGCACAAUGGACGAGAGUCUGAUGCAGCAACGCCGCGUGGAGGAUGACACAUUUCGGUGCGUAAACUCCUUUUAUUUAGGAAGAUAAUGACGGUACUAUAUGAAUAAGCACCGGCUAACUCCGUGCCAGCAGCCGCCGUAA